rnacentral:rRNA from 1 species
AGAAUCAACGCUGGCGGCGUGCCUAACACAUGCAAGUCGAACGAGAAAGGGUAGCAAUACCUGAGUAAAGUGGCGCACGGGUGAGUAACACGUGACUAACCUACCCUGGAGUGGGGGAUAACUGAGGGAAACCUUAGCUAAUACCGCAUAAUACCUACGGGUCAAAGGAGCAAUUCGCUCGAGGAGGGGUCGCGGCCGAUUAGUUAGUUGGCGGGGUAAUGGCCCACCAAGACGAUGAUCGGUAU